UGAGGGAUGACGGCCUUCGGGUUGUAAACCUCUUUCGACAGGGACGAAGCGAAAGUGACGGUACCUGUAGAAGAAGCGCCGGCUAACUACGUGCCAGCAGCCGCGGUAAUACGUAGGGUGCGAGCGUUGUCCGGAAUUAUUGGGCGUAAAGAGCUCGUAGGCGGUUUGUCGCGUCGGUUGUGAAAACUGGGGGCUUAACUCUCAGCUUGCAGUCGAUACGGGCAGGCUUGAGUUCGGUAGGGGAGACUGGAAUUCCUGGUGUAGCGGUGAAAUGCGCAGAUAUCAGGAGGAACACCGGUGGCGAAGGCGGGUCUCUGGGCCGAUACUGACGCUGAGGAGCGAAAGCGUGGGGAGCGAACAGGAUUAGAUACCCUGGUAGUCCACGCUGUAAACGUUGGGCGCUAGGUGUGGGCAACAUUCCACGUUGUCCGUGCCGCAGCUAACGCAUUAAGUGCCCCGCCUGGGGAGUACGGCCGCAAGGCUA
rnacentral:rRNA from 1 species